CUUCUUUUGGGGGAUUUCAAUCUGAUCACUAAAGCGGCGAACAAGAGCAACGCCAACAUCAAUCGCCGUCUCCUUGGGAAAUUCCGCGGGGCCCUUGACUUCAUGCAGCUAAAAGAGCUACGUAUGUGUGGGAGGCGCUUCACCUGGUCCAAUGAGCAAGCAAAUCCGGUCAUGACCAAGAUUGACCAUGUUUUCCACUCCGAUGACUGGGAUUUGCUCUUCCCAAAUGCGCAUCUCCAGGCCAUCUCAAUGACCUGCUCUGACCAUGCCCCGCUAUUCCUUCAGGGGUGCGUCGACAAUGCGAGGAAGCCAUCCUUCAAGUUUGAGGAGUUCUGGAUGCGACUCCCCGGCUUCCAUGAUGCGGUCGCGGCCGCGUGGAACAAGCCCGUCCUAUCCCGGGAUGCCCUCCGUAUGAUUCAUAUCAAGUUGUGCCGAACCACGAAGGCUUUGCGCAAAUGGCAAAAAGAGAGGGUUGGUGUUCUAAACACCCAGAUUGCAGUGGCAAAGGAGAUCAUCUGGCGUCUGGACGUCGCCAAGGAAGGGCGGCCGCUGUCAGAACCUGAGAGGGUUUUGAGGAGACAACUCAAGGCUUCCUACCUUGGCCUUCUCGCCAUCCAGAAGGUCAAGAUGAGAUAG
rnacentral:rRNA from 1 species